rnacentral:rRNA from 1 species
AGAUUGAACGCUGGCGGCAGGCCUAACACAUGCAAGUCGAGCGGCAGCACGGGUACUUGUACCUGGUGGCGAGCGGCGGACGGGUGAGUAAUGCCUAGGAAUCUGCCUGGUAGUGGGGGAUAACGCUCGGAAACGGACGCUAAUACCGCAUACGUCCUACGGGAGAAAGCAGGGGACCUUCGGGCCUUGCGCUAUCAGAUGAGCCUAGGUCGGAUUAGCUAGUUGGUGAGGUAAUGGCUCACCAAGGCGACGAUCCGUAACUGGUCUGAGAGGAUGAUCAGUCACACUGGAACUGAAGACGUACGGUCCAGUACCUCCGUAACGGGAGGCAGGCAGGUGGGAAUUAGUGGAACAAGUGGGACGAAAGCUAGAUCCAGCCAUCGCCGCGUGUGUAGGAAAGAGGUUCUGGAUUAGUAAAGCUAAGUUUAAGGUAGGAGGAGGUCUUAAUUAACCUAA